rnacentral:tRNA from 1 species
GCCGUGGUGGCGGAAUAGGUAGACGCGCAGGUCUCAAAAACCUGUCUGCUUUAGCAGGUGAGAGUUCAAUUCUCUCCCACGGCA